rnacentral:rRNA from 1 species
UUCGUAGGUGGUCUUGUCAGUCUGAAGUUAAAUUCUGGGGCUCAACCCCAGCUUGCUUCGGAUACUGAUAGACUAGAGUUAUAGAGAGAUUAGCGGAACUCCAUGUGAAGCGGUGGAAUGCGUAGAUAUAUGGAAGAACACCAAUGGCGAAGGCAGCUAAUUAGCUAUAUACUGACGCUCAGGAACGAAAGCGUGGGGAGCAAACA